rnacentral:rRNA from 1 species
AUGCUCCAAAUAUUUCAUGUCCAAUUCAUAGACAUCCUUGAAUUUCUUAACGAUGAUGGCAUGUUUGGUGUUCAUAUUUUUGUCAGCCAAAUAAUAAUAGGUGCACUUGACUGUUUGAGGAAAUGCCAAUUGAAAUGCCAAUUGUGGUCAGCAUGUUGUAAGUACUUUGGGAAACAAGUUCUAGGUUUGCUGGUCCAUAUUAAUUUCCUCGAGCUUAUGUUCACAUCUCGUCAUAUUUACACCUCUCCGUCGACUGCCACCUAUCAUGGAGGGAGAUGGCUUGGCCAGGCCGUCAACACCCAUCGGCAACUUCCGGCAGGCGCCGUCCCAUUCUUCUUCCCCUUGCUCUGA